AACGACUCUCGGCAACBGAUAUMUCGGCUCUCGCAUSGAUGAAGAACGUAGCGAARUGCGAUACUUGGUGUGAAUUGCAGAAUCCCGUGAACCAUCGAGUCUUUGAACGCAAGUUGCGCCCGAGGCCACCAGGCCGAGGGCACGUCUGGCUGGGUGUCACGCAUCG
rnacentral:rRNA from 1 species